UUUAGAUAAUCAACUACUUUUCACAAAACUAGUUUGUGGAACACAUUGAAAAAAUCACCGAUUUUCCUAAUUUCUCUACGUGACUUAGGAUUUAUAAGUAUGUAGUUUAAUACACAGUUGAUAUUUAGCCAAAUUUACAUAACUCCUUUC
ensembl:ncRNA R05G6.19 ncRNA